rnacentral:rRNA from 1 species
CUUUUACAAUGAAGAGUUUGAUCCUGGCUCAGGAUGAACGCUAGCUACAGGCUUAACACAUGCAAGUCGAGGGGCAGCAUUUUAGUUUGCUUGCAAACUAAAGAUGGCGACCGGCGCACGGGUGAGUAACACGUAUCCAACCUGCCGAUAACUCGGGGAUAGCCUUUCGAAAGAAAGAUUAAUAUCCGAUAGUAUAUUAAAACCGCAUGGUUUUACUAUUAAAGAAUUUCGGUUAUCGAUGGGGAUGCGUUCCAUUAGUUUGUUGGCGGGGUAACGGCCCACCAAGACUACGAUGGAUAGGGGUUCUGAGAGGAAGGUCCCCCACAUUGGAACUGAGACACGGUCCAAACUCCUACGGGAGGCAGCAGUGAGGAAUAUUGGUCAAUGGACGAGAGUCUGAACCAGCCAAGUAGCGUGAAGGAUGACUGCCCUAUGGGUUGUAAACUUCUUUUAUAUGGGAAUAAAGUAUUCCACGUGUGGAAUUUUGUAUGUACCAUAUGAAUAAGGAUCGGCUAACUCCGUGCCAGCAGCCGCGGUAAUACGGAGGAUCCGAGCGUUAUCCGGAUUUAUUGGGUUUAAAGGGAGCGUAGGUGGAUUGUUAAGUCAGUUGUGAAAGUUUGCGGCUCAACCGUAAAAUUGCAGUUGAAACUGGCAGUCUUGAGUACAGUAGAGGUGGGCGGAAUUCGUGGUGUAGCGGUGAAAUGCUUAGAUAUCACGAAGAACUCCGAUUGCGAAGGCAGCUCACUAGACUGCAACUGACACUGAUGCUCGAAAGUGUGGGUAUCAAACAGGAUUAGAUACCCUGGUAGUCCACACAGUAAACGAUGAAUACUCGCUGUUUGCGAUAUACAGUAAGCGGCCAAGCGAAAGCAUUAAGUAUUCCACCUGGGGAGUACGCCGGCAACGGUGAAACUCAAAGGAAUUGACGGGGGCCCGCACAAGCGGAGGAACAUGUGGUUUAAUUCGAUGAUACGCGAGGAACCUUACCCGGGCUUAAAUUGCAUUUGAAUAAUCUGGAAACAGGUUAGCCGCAAGGCAAAUGUGAAGGUGCUGCAUGGUUGUCGUCAGCUCGUGCCGUGAGGUGUCGGCUUAAGUGCCAUAACGAGCGCAACCCUUAUCUUUAGUUACUAACAGGUCAUGCUGAGGACUCUAGAGAGACUGCCGUCGUAAGAUGUGAGGAAGGUGGGGAUGACGUCAAAUCAGCACGGCCCUUACGUCCGGGGCUACACACGUGUUACAAUGGGGGGUACAGAAGGCAGCUACCUGGUGACAGGAUGCUAAUCCCAAAAACCUCUCUCAGUUCGGAUCGAAGUCUGCAACCCGACUUCGUGAAGCUGGAUUCGCUAGUAAUCGCGCAUCAGCCAUGGCGCGGUGAAUACGUUCCCGGGCCUUGUACACACCGCCCGUCAAGCCAUGAAAGCCGGGGGUACCUGAAGUACGUAACCGCAAGGAGCGUCCUAGGGUAAAACUGGUAAUUGGGGCUAAGUCGUAACAAGGUAGCCGUACCGGAAGGUGCGGCUGGAACACCUCCUUUCU